UACGGGGGGGGCAAGCGUUGUUCGGAAUUACUGGGCGUAAAGGGCUCGUAGGUGGCCAACUAAGUCAGACGUGAAAUCCCUCGGCUUAACCGGGGAACUGCGUCUGAUACUGGAUGGCUUGAGGUUGGGAGAGGGAUGCGGAAUUCCUGGUGUAGCGGUGAAAUGCGCAGAUAUCAGGAAGAACACCCGUGGCGAAGGCGGCUCUCUGGGACGGUACUGACGCUGAGACGCGAAAGCGUGGGGAGCGAACAGG
rnacentral:rRNA from 1 species